CAGGCCUAACACAUGCAAGUCGGACGGUAGCACAGAGGAGCUUGCUCUCUUGGGUGACGAGUGGCGGACGGGUGAGUAAUGUCUGGGGAUCUGCCCGAUAGAGGGGGAUAAGCACUGGAAACGGUGGCUAAUACCGCAUAUCGUCCCAAGACCCAAGAGGGGGACCUUCGGGCCUCUCACUAUCGGAUGAACCCAGAUGGGAUUAGCUAUUACGCGGGGUAAUGGCCCACCUACGCAACGAUCCCUAACUGGUCUGAAAGGAUGACCAUCCACACUGGAACUGAUACACGGUCCAGACUCCUACUGGAGGCAUCAGGGGGGAAUAUUGCACGAUGGGCGCAAGCCUGAUGCAGCCAUGCCGCGUGUAUGAACAAGGCCUUCUGUCCGUCCAGUACUUUCA
rnacentral:rRNA from 1 species